UGAACGCUGGCGGCAUGCCUUACACAUGCAAGUCGAACGGCAGCACGGGUGCUUGCACCUGGUGGCGAGUGGCGAACGGGUGAGUAAUACAUCGGAACAUGUCCUGUAGUGGGGGAUAGCCCGGCGAAAGCCGGAUUAAUACCGCAUACGAUCUACGGAUGAAAGCGGGGGACCUUCGGGCCUCGCGCUAUAGGGUUGGCCGAUGGCUGAUUAGCUAGUUGGUGGGGUAAAGGCCUACCAAGGCGACGAUCAGUAGCUGGUCUGAGAGGACGACCAGCCACACUGGGACUGAGACACGGCCCAGACUCCUACGGGAGGCAGCAGUGGGGAAUUUUGGACAAUGGGCGAAAGCCUGAUCCAGCAAUGCCGCGUGUGUGAAGAAGGCCUUCGGGUUGUAAAGCACUUUUGUCCGGAAAGAAAUCCUUGGCUCUAAUACAGUCGGGGGAUGACGGUACCGGAAGAAUAAGCACCGGCUAACUACGUGCCAGCAGCCGCGGUAAUACGUAGGGUGCGAGCGUUAAUCGGAAUUACUGGGCGUAAAGCGUGCGCAGGCGGUUUGCUAAGACCGAUGUGAAAUCCCCGGGCUCAACCUGGGAACUGCAUUGGUGACUGGCAGGCUAGAGUAUGGCAGAGGGGGGUAGAAUUCCACGUGUAGCAGUGAAAUGCGUAGAGAUGUGGAGGAAUACCGAUGGCGAAGGCAGCCCCCUGGGCCAAUACUGACGCUCAUGCACGAAAGCGUGGGGAGCAAACAGGAUUAGAUACCCUGGUAGUCCACGCCCUAAACGAUGUCAACUAGUUGUUGGGGAUUCAUUUCCUUAGUAACGUAGCUAACGCGUGAAGUUGACCGCCUGGGGAGUACGGUCGCAAGAUUAAAACUCAAAGGAAUUGACGGGGACCCGCACAAGCGGUGGAUGAUGUGGAUUAAUUCGAUGCAACGCGAAAAACCUUACCUACCCUUGACAUGGUCGGAAUCCCGCUGAGAGGUGGGAGUGCUCGAAAGAGAACCGGCGCACAGGUGCUGCAUGGCUGUCGUCAGCUCGUGUCGUGAGAUGUUGGGUCAACUCCCGCAACGAGCGCAACCCUUGUCCUUAGUUGCUACGCAAGAGCACUCUAAGGAGACUGCCGGUGACAAACCGGAGGAAGGUGGGGAUGACGUCAAGUCCUCAUGGCCCUUAUGGGUAGGGCUUCACACGUCAUACAAUGGUCGGAACAGAGGGUUGCCAACCCGCGAGGGGGAGCUAAUCCCAGAAAACCGAUCGUAGUCCGGAUUGCACUCUGCAACUCGAGUGCAUGAAGCUGGAAUCGCUAGUAAUCGCGGAUCAGCAUGUCGCGGUGAAUACGUUCCCGGGUCUUGUACACACCGCC
rnacentral:rRNA from 1 species